rnacentral:rRNA from 1 species
UACGGGGGGGGCAAGCGUUGUUCGGAAUUACUGGGCGUAAAGGGUGCGUAGGCGGUGCUCUAAGUCGGAUGUGAAAACUCUGGGCUCAACCCAGAGCCUGCAUCCGAAACUGGAGUGCUAGAGUUCUGGAGGGGGUAGCGGAAUUCCUGGUGUAGCGGUGAAAUGCGUAGAUAUCAGGAGGAACACCUAUUGCGAAGGCAGCUCGCUGGGACGUAACUGACGCUGAGACGCGAAAGCGUGGGGAGCAAACAGG